GAGUUUGAUUAUGGCUCAGGAUGAACGCUAGCGGCAGGCUUAACACAUGCAAGUCGAGGGGCAGCGCGAGGUAGCAAUACUUUGGCGGCGACCGGCGAAAGGGUGCGUAACGCGUGAGCAACUUGCCCGUAUCUGGGACAUAAGCGGUGGAAACGCCGUCUAAUUUCCCAUAACAACAGAGGCCGCAUGACUUCUGUUUGAAAGAUCCGUCGGAUACGGAUGGGCUCGCGAGACAUUAGCUAGUCGGCGUGGUAACGGCACACCGAGGCGACGAUGUCUAGGGGUUCUGAGAGGAAGGUCCCCCACACUGGAACUGAGACACGGUCCAGACUCCUACGGGAGGCAGCAGUGAGGAAUAUUGGUCAAUGGGCGGAAGCCUGAACCAGCCAUGCCGCGUGAAAAGGAAUAAGGCCCUAUGGGUCGUAAACUUCUUUUGUGGUGGAGCAAUAAGGUGUACGUGUACACCGACGAGAGUACAUCACGAAUAAGCAUCGGCUAACUCCGUGCCAGCCGCCGC
rnacentral:rRNA from 1 species